rnacentral:rRNA from 1 species
GCCUAACACAUGCAAGUCGAGCGGGAAAUCUCAAAUUGAAGCUUCGGCAGAUUUUUGAGAUGGAGAGCGGCGGACGGGUGAGUAACGCGUGAGUAACCUGCCCCUCAGAAUGGGAUAACACAUCGAAAGGUGUGCUAAUACCGUAUAACGUAUCUUUACCGCAUGAUAGAGAUACCAAAGAUUUAUCGCUGAGGGAUGGACUCGCGUCUGAUUAGCUUGUUGGCGGGGUAACGGCCCACCAAGGCGACGAUCAGUAGCCGAACUGAGAGGUUGAUCGGCCACAUUGGGACUGAGACACGGCCAGACUCCUACGGGAGGCAGCAGUGGGGAAUAUUGCGCAAUGGGGGAAACCCUGACGCAGCAACGCCGCGUGAAGGAUGAAGGUCUUCGGAUUGUAGACUUCUGUCUUAUGGGAAGAAGAAAGUGACGGUACCAUAGGAGGAAGCCACGGCUAACUACGUGCCAGCCGCCGCCGUAAUAC